rnacentral:misc_RNA from 1 species
UUUCCGUAGGUGAACCUGCGGAAGGAUCAAUACAGUAGUCGCCCGGGUUGCCGCAAGGCCUCCCGGGUAACCUACCACCCUUUGUUUAUUACACUUUGUUGCUUUGGCAGGCCUGCCCUCGGGCUGCUGGCUCCGGCCGGCGAGCGCUUGCCAGAGGACCUAAACUCUGUUUGUCUAUACUGUCUGAGUACUAUAUAAUAGUUAAAACUUUCAACAACGGAUCUCUUGGUACUG